UACGUAGGUGGCGAGCGUUGUCCGGAUUUACUGGGCGUAAAGGGAGCGUAGGCGGGCUUUUAAGUGAGAUGUGAAAUACUCGGGCUCAACUUGAGUGCUGCAUUUCAAACUGGAAGUCUAGAGUGCAGGAGAGGAGAAUGGAAUUCCUAGUGUAGCGGUGAAAUGCGUAGAGAUUAGGAAGAACACCAGUGGCGAAGGCGAUUCUCUGGACUGUAAUUGACGCUGAGGCUCGAAAGCGUGGGGAGCAAACAGG
rnacentral:rRNA from 1 species